AUGCUCACAAAGAUACUCCGCAUGGAAGGCUGCUAAAAACUGCUCCCAAGUGGCUGGUGUAGGUAGGGUGGUCUGCUUGAGCUCCCACCAAUGACCUGCUUCCCCUACCAGCAUGUAGGAAGCAAGGGCAGCUCUCUGCUCAGGAACCACUCCCAAGGUCUUGAAAGCUCUCUCAGUCUUCGCCAACUAGUACUGGGCAUCUUCGAAAAAGGAUCCCC
rnacentral:lncRNA from 1 species